AAAGUUGCUGAUUUUGGCCUUUCCAAGCCUAUGAGUGACACUGAAAAGGGUCACAUUACCACUCAAGUCAAAGGGACAAUGGGCUAUUUGGAUCCAGAAUAUUACAUGACUCAGCAGUUAACUGAGAAGAGUGAUGUUUAUAGCUUUGGAGUUGUAUUGCUGGAGCUUUUAACUUCUCUAAGAGCAAUUGAUUUAAGUAGAGGAGAAGAUAAUGUGAACUUGGCCAUUUAUGUUCAGAGGAUGAUAGAGAAGGAGAAGUUGAUAGAUAUAAUUGAUCCCAUGCUGAAAGAAGCUUCAAGCAGUUUGGAGCUAGAAAGCAUGAAUGCAAUAGCACUCUUGGCAUUGGCUUGUUUGGAGGAAAAGAGAGAGAACAGGCCUUCCAUGAAAGAAGUCGCCGAGGAUAUCGACUACACUUUGAAUAUCAUAACCACAAAACAUCAUGUGCAAAACUAGCUUACGAGCGAACAUGAUGACUUGUGAAUCAAUAGUUACAACCAAGUUCUCAGUUCUAGGAGAUGUUCAGUGUUUUGGCCAUCAAGCCUCCUCGUCUACCUCUUUCUUUAUCUGUGUUUUUUGUUUUCCUUAGUUUGUGUUUUUGUUUUUAGUUUUUCUUUAGAUUGUGUUUUUGUUGCAGUGCUUGUAAGGUCUCCUAACCUGGAGUAUAGUACCCUCCUCGGAUGGGGUCUGUUGUUUUAUAUAUCUGCUUGUUUUGUAAGUGUAUGUUGUUCCAUAAUGUAGAUAAUGGACUAUUUACUAUGACUUCAUAACGUAUGCCCAUUUCUG
rnacentral:misc_RNA from 1 species